rnacentral:rRNA from 1 species
GAUGAACGCUGGCUGUGUGCUAAUACAUGCAUGUCGAGCGGAAGUAGCAAUACUUUAGCGGCGAAUGGGUGAGUAACACGUGCUUAAUCUACCUCUUAGAUUGGAAUACCUAAUGGAAACAUUGGUUAAUGCCGGAUACGCAUGGAGUCGCAUGACUCCGUUGUGAAAGGGGCCUUUAAAGCUCCACUAAGAGAUGAGGGUGCGGAACAUUAGCUAGUUGGUGAGGUAACGGCCCACCAAGGCUAUGAUGUUUAGCCGGGUCGAGAGACUGAACGGCCACAUUGGGACUGAGAUACGGCCCAAACUCCUACGGGAGGCAGCAGUAGGGAAUAUUCCACAAUGAGCGAAAGCUUGAUGGAGCGACACAGCGUGCACGAUGAAGGUCUUAUGGAUUGUAAAGUGCUGUUGCAAGGGAAGAAAAAGUAGUUGAGGAAAUGCUUCUACAUUGACGGUACCUUGUUAGAAAGCGAUGGCUAACUAUGUGCCAGCAGCCGCGGUAAUACAUAGGUCGCAAGCGUUAUCCGGAAUUAUUGGGCGUAAAGCGUUCGUAGGCUGUUUAUUAAGUCUGGAGUCAAAUCCCAGGGCUCAACCCUGGCUCGCUUUGGAUACUGGUAAACUAGAGUUGGAUAGAGGUAAGCGGAAUUCCAUGUGAAGCGGUGAAAUGCGUAGAUAUAUGGAAGAACACCAAAGGCGAAGGCAGCUUACUGGGUUUAUACUGACGCUGAGGAACGAAAGCGUGGGGAGCAAACAGG